UUUAUUUUUUGUAGAGUGCCCUGGCAUUGCCUGAGGAUAAAUUGAAAGUAUGCUCAUUUCCCUCCCCAGUAAGAUUCUCUCUAUCCUCUGGGGCCUACAGUUUGAGCAAACAUUAACAAUAUAGUUAAAUUAUUAUCAUUUUUUAUUUCAAAUUGUAUCAUUAUGCUUUCUGUCAGAUGCUAUAUUAAAGAAUACUUUGCCUUAAAGCAACACAAGGCAGCACAAUAGAAGGGAUUCUGUUUAGUCAACAGACAAAAAAAAUGAGGAAGCACAUACAGGAUAUAAUAGCCAGGUGUGCUUAGUCAGAGAACAUAAUGUGAUUACUGUAAUAGAUCUUUAGAUUUUUAUCUGGCUGACUGGACCAUAAAUUAAUAGUUUUAAUGGUAGACAAAUUAAUAUUGAAUUGUGUGGAUUUGUAAUGUGGGUGGUCAGAUCCCUUAAAACAUUUGCAUGCUUAAUGUAGGUUGGGGAAGUCAUAAGAAAGCAAUUUUUCCAAUCUUCUCAUUUUGUUAAAAAAGUUUGCGUGGAAAUUUAUUCCUAAUUAAUGUGAAUUCCUAAUUAAGCUGCUUAUUGUCCCCAUUUUAGGAAUCCAUAAAAAACUUCAACCAAGACAAGAGGAUCUUCUGUGCUAUCCUUUCUUCCCACACCCCUUCCAUGGGUGUCAGUCACAGAGAUGUGAACACUGUUGUCUUCUGGGACACUGGUUUGGAUCUGCUGGUGGACACAAAGGCUGAGGAAUGGUGUGCUAAAAUUGCAAGAGGCAGAGAUAUCCACAUAUACAGGCUUGUAAGUGGUCAUUCUGUCGAAGAGAGGCUGUUGAAAAAAGGUAUUAAACAUCUGAUUCAAGAACUGGCUGCUCAGGGAGACGAUUGUUCAACAGACUUUUUAUCUCAGGUUCUUUGCUCUGAAUGUGGAAAUGAGGAUUCUAGAAAGUUUACAGAAGAGGCACUGUCUGAGCUAAGAACUGACCCAGAUUCAGAGCUGUAUGAUUCAAGAAACACCACGGUUCCUUCUCAGUUAGAACAACUGGCUGGCUUGGUGGGUCAGGUAUGGUGACUUCUCUUGUUUUAUGGAAACCUUUAGAAAUAUUUGGGAUUUCCUGGGCAACAAUCAAGUGGCUUUCAUGAAGCACCUUAUUUCCAAUCUACUUACAUUGAAGAGUUCUGUGCAAACUUAAAUAUUGAAACGCUCCUGGGAGGUAAUUUGAGCUUGUUGAUAGAUCUGUUCAUGUACCAAAGCACUUAAGUCACCAAAUGUUCUCCUGAGGAUUGUAAAGUAUAUUGGACUAAAUGCACUUCAUGAUGUAUAAAGUGAUAUAAAACCAGUUUACAGCCCUGUGCUUUGCAGAUACUUGUGAUUUUUCUUACAAGGACUAGGAUCUGUUUCUUCUUAACCAUUAAAUGACUAUUCACAGCAUUCCUUAAGUUCUGUCAGAUUUGGAUUGUCUCUUUUUCCCUUUGACUACUUGUGCAGGACCCAAGCCUGCUUACUAAUGACCAGUCAAGAGUGUUUGUAACAACUUGGGUGGGAUUCUCAUUUUUUUUUUCCAGUUAGGAAAACGGAAGCCAAUAGUUGGAGCCUAUUUUCAGUGGUACCAUUGGGGUGGGAGCAGACAAGUUAGAACUGCUCAUGUUCUAGUCAUGUUUUUUGUCCUUAAAUAUCUUGUGGUACCUUUAUUUG